GUUCCCUGGAGGCGGCGAAGACUUCCCAAGUUCGGCGGCUGUUCGCUCGGCGUUAGUCGCGCCGCCCCACGCUACGGACACAACUCUCCUUCCUCCAGCGGCGACGGCCGAGACAUAUAUAUAUGUAUAGGGGUUUGGUCAAGGUCGGAUUCCAGCCAAUGUUUCAUAUCCGAAAGUACCAGUCAACGCAAAGCCGACCCCAGGGAUAUUGAGCUUGACGCGCUCGCCUUUAUUUCCACUAUGAGUAGCUACAUCGGUGGGGACCGUGAAGGCCAAACUGAGCGCAGCGGGUGCAUUUCUCGUCGGGAAAAGGUCCACCUCUGGUUGUCCACUAAAUUCAGAGGGCAGUGGUGCACCCAUCCCUUUGACAGGCGCGGAGUUUGGCCAUCGUGCUUCUCAAUCCUGUUUUGCAAUUCCUCAAAUUCGUCUUAACUUGUCCGCAUUUCCCUGCCCUUUCACCACCCCCCAGUAGUGUAUGGAGGAGUCAAAUUGUGAUGUCACACCAUGUACAAUGUGACUUGACCACAAUGCUGGUUAAUAGGUCCUUGGUGGUCUUGCCAAAACUAAAGUAUACACGGUGAACCCAGCUGUUAGCAAUAGAAAGAGCCAUGUCCCAGGUUCUGUACCUUUUCAUACCUCUAGGUCCCCUCUCCCCUGAUUCUCAGUCUGAAGAAGGAUCUCAACUCCAGAGAUGCUGCCUGGCCUGCUGAGUUACUCCAGCAUUUUGUGUCAAUCUCAAGAUUCAAGAGAGUUUAUUGUCAUGUUUCCCAGACAGGACAAUGAAAUUCUUGCUUUGCUUCAGCACAACACAAUAUAGUAAGCAUGAAUACAGAACAGAUCAGUGUGUCCAUAUACCAUUAUAUAAAUAUAUACACACAUGAAUAAAUAAACAGAUAAUGGGCUAUUAAUGUUCAGAGUUUAAUAGCCUGAUGGCUGUGGGGAAGCAGCUAUUCCUGAACAUAUAUUGACCCACUUCCACUCGUGGGACUCCUACAGUUAAUGACACAAGUUUGGGACAUUCUCUUACUUACAGUUUAUGACACACUCUUGGGACCCCCUUUUUAUACAUGGAAAAAAGUAUGCAGUGAAACAUGCAGUGAAAAAGUAGAAGGGCAGAAUAUGUUUUAAUGUUGAGUGGUUGUCAGUGUUGGUAUUCAGAGGGACUUGGGAAUCCUUGUACAUCACCGAAAGAAUAUCCAACAGGUUCAGCCAAUACCAAUAAACAACUGGAGUAUUGUGUGCAGAUCUGGCCUUCCUGUCAAAGAAGGAUACACGUGGAAAUGCUGCAAAUGUUCAUCAGAUUGAUUCCUAUAUUGACAGAUAUCAAGUGUUUAUUUGUCAUCGCGCCAGCUAAGAACCGGAACGAUGACAUUUUUACGGUGCAACUUUACAGACACAUUAGACCCAACAACAACAAAUAAAAUAAAUACAUGAUAAACUAUCAGUUAUUUUAAGCGAACUAAACAAAAACCUAUAACAUGGUGCCCAGAACUGAACACAAUGCUCUAAAUGCGACCUCGCUAACGUCUUAUAAGAGACUUUGAGCUCCCAAAGAACACAGUGGCCCUUGAACUUUUUUAUCACUUUCUCCAGAUGUGAAAUACUGUAAAACUAUAUACUGCACUAUGGCUAUUCUCUUUGCACUGCCUGUUGUACUUCUGCAUGGCUUACAGUUCUUAUGUAUAGUACGAUUUGAAUGGAUAGCAUGCAAAACAAAGUUUUUCACUAUAUCUUAGUACAUAUGACAAUAAUAAAACAAUACCAUCUAGAAAGGA